rnacentral:rRNA from 1 species
AUGCUUUAUGGCUUAGAACCGGGACUUCAACGACAUUUUGAACGUCAUGGAGCAUAUGAGAUGUUCCAGGAGUUGAAGUUCAUAUUUCAAGCAAAUGCCCGGAUUGAGAGAUAUCAAGUCUCCAAUAAGUUCUACAGCUGCAAAAUGGACGAGAAUAGUUCUGCCAGUGAGCAUAUACUCAGAAUGUCUGGGUACCACAAUCACUUGACUCAGCUGGGAGUUAAUCUUCCGGUUGAUAGUGUCAUUGACAGAGUUCUUCAAUCACUGCCACCAAGCUACAAAAGCUUCGUGAUGAACUAUAAUAUGCAAGGGAUGGAUAAGACAAUUCCCGAGCUCUUCGCGAUGCUAAAGGCUGCGGAGGUAGAAAUCAAGAAGGAGCAUCAAGUGUUGAUGGUUAACAAGACCACUAGUUUCAAGAAAAAGGGCAAAGGGAAGAAGGGGAACUUCAAGAAGAACGACAAGCAAGUUGCUGCUCAAGCGAAGAAGCCCAAGUCUAGACCUAACCCUGAGACUGAGUGCUUCUACUGCAAAGGGACUGGUCACUGGAAGCGGAACUGCCCCAAGUAUUUGGCGGAUAAGAAGGAUGACAAAGUGAAAGGUAUGUUUGAUAUACAUGUUAUUGAUGUGUACCUUACUAAUGCUCGUAGUAGCGCCUGGGUAUUUGAUACUGGUUCUGUUGCUCACAUUUGCAACUCGAAACAGGGGUUACGGAUUAAGCGAAGAUUGGCUAAGGACGAGGUGACGAUGCGCGUGGGAAAUGGUUCCAAAUUCGAUGUGAUCACCGUCAGCACGCUACUUCUACAUCUACCUUCGGGAUUAGUUUUAGACCUGAAUAAUUGUUAUUUGGUGCCAGCGUUAAGCAUGAACAUUAUAUCUGGAUCUUGUUUGAUGCGAGACGACUAUUCAUUUAAAUCAGAGAAUAAUGGUUAUUCU